UACGUAGGUGGCAAGCGUUUGUCCGGAUUUAUUGGGUUUAAAGGGUGCGUAGGCGGUUUCAUAAGUCAGUGGUGAAAUACGGCAGCUUAACUGUCGAGGUGCCAUUGAUACUGUGGAACUUGAGUACAGACGAGGUAGGCGGAAUUGACGGUGUAGCGGUGAAAUGCUUAGAUAUCGUCAAGAACACCGAUAGCGAAGGCAGCUUACUAGACUGUAACUGACGCUGAGGCACGAAAGUGUGGGGAUCAAACAGG
rnacentral:rRNA from 1 species